rnacentral:rRNA from 1 species
GACGAACGCUGGCGGCGUGCCUAAUACAUGCAAGUAGAACGCACAGUUUAUACCGUAGCUUGCUACACCAUAGACUGUGAGUUGCGAGCGGGUGAGUAACGCGUAGGUAACCUGCCUGGUAGCGGGGGAUAACUAUUGGAAACGAUAGCUAAUACCGCAUAAUAUUGAUUAUUGCAUGAUAAUUGAUUGAAAGAUGCUAUUGCAUCACUACCAGAUGGACCUGCGUUGUAUUAGCUAGUAGGUGAGGUAACGGCUCACCUAGGCGACGAUACAUAGCCGACCUGAGAGGGUGAUCGGCCACACUGGGACUGAGACACGGCCCAGACUCCUACGGGAGGCAGCAGUAGGGAAUCUUCGGCAAUGGACGAAAGUCUGACCGAGCAACGCCGCGUGAGUGAAGAAGGUUUUCGGAUCGUAAAGCUCUGUUGUAAGAGAAGAACGGGUGUGAGAGUGGAAAGUUCACACUGUGACGGUAUCUUACCAGAAAGGGACGGCUAACUACGUG